UGUGUCAUGGUGAUUCGCAGUUCUUCGCUCCCGGGAGUUUCCGUUUAGGUACAUUGAGGUUUUGCUCACAGUGUAAUGAGGUGAACAUCUCAAGGCUAAUUUGUUAUUUAUAGCCUUAGAGCGCGCUAGUGGUGCGUGCAUUGUGGCGAGUUGGCGGCGGAGAUCGAGUUCAGUGAUAGCAACAUUAGCCGGUCGCUGAAUGAUAUGUAUAUGUAUAUUGAGCCGCGGUACCUGUGAAUAAUCAUACCACUUCGCGUCUCGUGUUUGUUCAACCCAAUGUACUUUUGCAGAUGACAGCUGCAGAAUGGUUUGCCCCACCACAUCACUGUGAUCCCUGAUUCCUGGCAGUAAACAGGAUUCCACAACAGGUUCUCCGUGUUCUUCUCACUUCCAACAAAAAACAUUCUGGACUCUUAAUUGCCCCUAGCUAUGAAGCAGUGUGUGAAAGUGUAUGUGUACGGUGACCUGCAAUGGGCUGGAGGCACAUCAAGGAUGAAUUACUGCCUCACACCCAUUGUUCCUGUGAUACGCUCUGGAUCCACCAUGACUCUGAGAAGCAAUUACUGAAGAUGAAUCAAUAUUCAUCCUUUCAUCCCCUUGUAAUUAAUAUUUGAACAGAUUUUGUGUAUUUCUCUGCAAUGUCACAUCCUUUCAAAAAAUUAUACUUUUGCAGUAACUGCAGAUAAUCUUUCUUUUUUUUCUUUUUUUUUUUUACUAUUCUAAUGGAAAUUCAUUUUGAGUGGGGUUGGAUGAUGAUUAUUCAAUUUAGUUUAUUUGCAUAGCACUUUUAUUACAUUCUUACAAAGAUAACCCACUUUCUUGUGGGUGUAACUGAAAGUGGGAUUAUAAAUCAUUACCGUAUGCAGUUGUAGAAGUGGAAAGUCAAACAGUAAUAAGUGUGUUGAAAAGAUGUUCAGUAUGAGCAUAUUAUAAAUAAGAGUCCUGAAAUGAGCACGGAAUAGUCUUUACAAUUACAGAAGCAGUUCUUGAGUAUAAAUCUACAGUACCCACAUGGGAUUAUCCACUAAAGAAAGGGUAAGUCUUGGACAUAAUCAUCUUUGAGGACUGCAAUCUUUAGGGUAUCAGUGUGGUACCAUCCACAGCAGCAGAGGGUGCAGAAGCUUCAAGUAGAAGAAGAGGUAGAAGAUGAUGACAGUUUCCUUUUAAUCAGUUAUGUAUGUAAGGAAAGAAACCCAGAGUCACACACUUUCUUGUGUGUGUGUGUGUGUGUGUGUGUGUGUGUGUGUGUGUGUGUGUGUGUGUUUGCCCACAUGCUUGCUCUGUACAUGCUGCAGAAAUAUGCUGGAUCUCUCAGCUGAGCUGUUUUUUUCUGACACAAAAUUGGAUUAACUGUGAAAAGAAGAGACAGAGAAAUAUUGACUCCUUCUCGGAAAGCAGAGAGGGGAUGACGCCUUUCCAAUAACCAUAAACCCUCGGGCUGAAAAUAGACCAUACAAUUGUAUAUAUCACACAUGAGCACUUGCAGAUGGAGGAUGGUGCCGUUCCACUUUCUGUGUCAAUCAUCCAGUUUUAAAUCCACACACUCCUAGUAAUGCCUAUGAUCAAAUGCAAAUAUGAUCAUUAGGUACUGCUAUCAGAGCACCUUGCCAGGCUGCAUGCAGAAUGGACUUUCAUUGUUGACAAAUGGUUGUAAACAUGACAGUAUAAACUAUGUGGCUUACUAUUUUUAAGCAUUAAAUUUGAUAUUAAUGACAGUGAUGUUAGGAAUCUUCUGUAUGCACACCCUCUGUGUCUGCAUAGACACAUGACAAAGCAAUGACAUGCUAUUCCAGUAAAGGAAGUGUAAUAUGUGCUCUGUGUGUGAGACAUCUGCUCACUCACUGUUUAUCUCACACUCGCAGUGUGUCUCAUUUCUCAGUCACUAUACAGCCAUUAACUUGAUCUAGUUUUUCCGGUAGAACCCUAAGGCAUCACAGUCCGUCACCUGCAUAAUGAAAACCCCUUUCCCCAGACUGGUAAAACAUACACAAGAGCCUGUUGCUACUAUUUGACACCUGCUGUUCAUCAGUAAUGCUGUCAUCUGUACUGACUGUAAAUGUACUGACUGAUAAAAUAUUUUUGUAUGAUACACUUUUUAAUCCAACAGAAUAAAUUUGACCAUAUUGCCA